GGUCCAAUAUCUCCAAUAAAAAAUACUUUACCAUCACAGUCUCCUCUCAGGAAGUCUCCACGCAUUAAUAAAGUUAUUUCCAAGGAGAAUAAGAAGUGCAAGUUGAAGGAUUUAACUGGAAAGAAUAGGGUUGUGGCUGAAGGACGAUGGGGAACAAAUGAUCCGGAACAUAAGGUUCACUUUACUCGCUUGGGUUCUAAUGUAGUUAAAGUGUGGAUAGAUGUUGUGAAUGUGAAAAAUGUAAAAGUUCGGAGGCCAUCCGAUGAAAUAGAGAUUAUUGAAGAUGCACUUAGCUCCUGCAUUGCUUGGCCAGAGAACAAGGUCAUUAUGUCUUAAACUGAUGGUUUUAUUGUGUAAUGUUAAGUACUUGAGAUUGCUUGUUUAUUUUGGAUGUUCUUGAGACUUUGAUGGUAAACUGAUGUUCUUGAGACU